UUGAGGUCCCUGCCUGCUAACCUGACUGUGGAUCCUCAUCUGAGAGGAGGGAGAUGAAAACACACCCACCUCACAGGCUGUUGUGAGGACUAAGGGUGCGGCAGUGCCUGGUACAUGGAGCCAGCGCCGGCAGCCACCAUGGCGUCACGCAUAGGGUUGCGCAUGCAGCUCAUGCGGGAGCAGGCGCAGCAGGAGGAGCAGCGGGAGCGCAUGCAGCAACAGGCUGUCAUGCAUUACAUGCAGCAGCAGCAGCAGCAGCAACAGCAGCAGCUCGGAGGGCCGCCCACCCCGGCCAUCAAUACCCCCGUCCACUUCCAGUCGCCACCACCUGUGCCUGGGGAGGUGUUGAAGUGCAGUCCUACCUGGAGAAUCC
rnacentral:lncRNA from 1 species